rnacentral:lncRNA from 1 species
UAAUUUGAAUGUUAAGACUGGUAGUCAUGUUAUUGAAGAAACGAAUGUUAGUGGAUCAACUAACGCAGGUAGUAUGACGAAUAGUACUAGUGUAACUAAAAUUUUUGACGAAAAAAACAAAAAAAAAUAUGUUGAUAUGUUAAAAAAUAUAGAUAAAAAAGAAAUGUUAGAUCAUAACCCAAUUAAUGACGUACCAAAGGAGAUAAUAUUUUUAUUAAGAGUAGCUUCAUUGUUACAUGGUAUGUGUUCACAAAUGAAUAUAAAAAUAAAUUAUUUGAAUAUAUUUGCAAUUAGAGCAAAAGAAGCAUUAGAAAAAAUGUAUCAACCUGUUAGUAAAUCCAUUUAUACUAUUCCUAUAGAUAAAAAACCUAAAUGUUUUUUAGAAAAAAGAAUACAUCGCUUUUUAGUUAAAUUAUAUAAACAAAAAAAAAUUUUAGGAUGUCAAGUAGCCAUUAUACAUAAAAAAAAAAUUGUUUGUGAUACAUGUGUAGGAGUAACAAGUACAAUCGAUAGAAGACCUAUAACAAAACAUUCUUUAUUCAAUGGAUAUACAUUAAAUAAAAUUUUAUUAACUAUAGCAUUGAUUCAUUUAAUUUGCAACCAUCAAAAUGAACACACUAUGAAUUACCAACAUGUUUCACAUUUAGAUAAACAAAAACUAAUAUAUAAUGAUAAUAAAAAUAAAAAAGAAGUUGAAAAUGUAUCAAAAACAAAACUAAACAACAAAAAAAAAAUGGUUUAUAUUAAAAAAAAUUACACUAUUGAAAAAGGUUUUAAUGAUAAUAUAAUUGAAAAUAAUUAUUUUAGUUUUACAAAUAUAAAAGGGGAAAAAAAAAGUAGUAACAUUAUGGAUGGGAUAAAUAGCAGUUCUAAUGCUGAUUCUGUUUUUACUCAUACAAAUAAUAAAAGUAAAAAAGUUUACGAAUUUGAUAUUAACACUGCUAAUGCUAUUUGUCCUACUAUAAAAAAUGAAAAGACCAAUAAAGAAGACGACAUUCGUAUUGGAAAAUCUGUUACUGCAACAUGUAGUGACGAUUAUUAUGGCGAUAAUAAUAGUAAUGUCCAUAUGGUUAACACGUUUAAGAAUAAAAGAAAAAGUGAUAAUACAGUAAUGGAUUUGACCAAUUCGAUGGAUGGUGUUACCACAUGUGAUAAGAGAGUAGUUAUGGAGAAAAAUGAGAAAAGAAAUGUGCAGACAAACGAGGAGACAAACGAGGAGACAAACGAGGAGACAAACGUGAAGACAAACGUGAAGACACAAGAAUAUAACGAAAACGAAUGUGGUAAUUCGUUAGCAAAAAUAUUAUAUAACGAUUUAUGUAAAAAACAAAUAAAAAAUUUCAAAAGUACGAUAAAUGAUUAUGUUAGUAACUAUUGGGAU